GACAGAGGGUGCAAACGUUGCUCGGAAUCAUUGGGCGUAAAGCGCACGUAGGCGGUUCGUUAUGUCGGAUGUGAAAGCCCUUGGCUUAACCGAGGAAGUGCAUCCGAAACUGGCGAGCUAGAGUACGAAAAGAGGAUCGCGGAAUUCCCGGUGUAGAGGUGAAAUUCGUAGAUAUCGGGAGGAACACCGGUGGCGAAGGCGGCGAUCUGGGUCGAUACUGACGCUGAGGUGCGAAAGCGUGGGGAGCAAACAGG
rnacentral:rRNA from 1 species